AUUCUUCAAUGCACAAAUGGCUUACUUUUGCGGAUAGAAUAGAAAUCAUGAUGCUCGGUAAGCUUCACAGUUUCUUAAACAAAGAGAUUCCAGAAAACAUGAUUGCGAGGAUUUCACAUGGCUACAUAUAGUUCCCAAUUCUCAAAGGCUGUGGCUCAUGAAAACAUGACUGCGAGGCAACGACAAUUAAGAAAAAGGAAUUUAGGAAGACUGGUGGAGAUGAGGAACGAAUGGCAGCCAUUGCAGCUUACAUGAAGCUUAAUUGGCAGGGCCUUCAGAAGAAGGUUGUCUUUGUUACUGUUAUUUCAG